GGGGGUGCUAUACAUGCAGUUAGCGCAGGAAGCUCACGGAACUCUUCGGAGUGGAAGUGAAGGGAAUGAGCGGCGGACGGGUGAGUAACACGUAAGGAACCUGCCCCAAGGAUUGGGAUAACUCCGAGAAAUCGGAGCUAAUACCGAAUAGUUCUUCAGACCGCAUGGUCUGAUGAUGAAAGGCGCUCCGGCGUCACCUUGGGAUGGCCUUGCGGUGCAUUAGCUAGUUGGUGGGGUAAUGGCCCACCAAGGCGACGAUGCAUAGCCGACCUGAGAGGGUGAUCGGCCACACUGGGACUGAGACACGGCCCAGACUCCUACGGGAGGCAGCAGUAGGGAAUCUUCCACAAUGGACGAAAGUCUGAUGGAGCAACGCCGCGUGAGUGAUGAAGGUUUUCNGAUCGUAAAACUCUGUUGUAAGGGAAGAACAAGUACGAGAGGUAAUGCUCGUACCUUGACGGUACCUUGCGAGAAAGCCACGGCUAACUACGUGCCAGCAGCCGCGGUAAUACGUAGGUGGCAAGCGUUGUCCGGAAUUAUUUGGGCGUUAAAGCGCGCGCAGGGCGGCUUUUAAGUCUUGAUUGUGAAAGCCCCCGGGCUCAACCGGGGAGGGUCCAUUGGAAACUGGAAGG
rnacentral:rRNA from 1 species